CACGUAGGGCGCAAGCGUUGUCCGGAAUUAUUGGGCGUAAAGAGCUCGUAGGUGGUUUGUUACGUCCGCUGUGAAAUCCUAGGGCUUAACCCUGGGCUUGCAGUGGAUACGGGCAGACUAGAGGUAGGUAGGGGAGAAUGGAAUUCCUGGUGUAGCGGUGAAAUGCGCAGAUAUCAGGAAGAACACCUAUGGCGAAGGCAGCACUCUGGGACGGUACUGACGCUGAGACGCGAAAGCGUGGGGAGCGAACAGG
rnacentral:rRNA from 1 species